CCGCCGCCGCAGGGCCCCGCGCGGCUUCCGUCCUGGCCAAGAUGGCGGCGCCCGGGGUCCCGAGUAGCGGUCGCAGAGGGUGCCACCGCCCUCGGCGAGGUCGGGCCGCCCCGCGCGGAAGAACCGCCCCCAGCCGCCACACCAGCACCGCCACCGCCUAGCACAGCAUCCCAGGCCCCGCCCGGGACGGACGGCAGCCGCGCCAUGGAUUCUUCCAGCUCGUCCAGCUCCAGCUUUGCCGUCGGCUCCCCUAGUCCCGGCGCUGUCGUGCUCCUGUACUCGAAGGAGCUCAAAAAGUGGGAUGAGUUUGAAGAUAUGUUAGAGGAAAGGAGGCAUGUCAGUGACCUGAAGUUUGCCAUGAAGUGCUACACCCCUCUCCUGUAUAAGGGGCUCAUUCCGUGCACGCCAAACGAUAUUAAGUGUAGUGUUCUCAACUCCGAAGAGGUUUACUAUGUCAUUAAGCAGCUCUCCAGGGAGCCCCUCCAGUCCCCGGACGCCCUCCGCGAGGAAGCGUGCCAGAUCCUGGAUGAAAUGGGCCACAGGCUGCGUCUGGGAGCCAUCCGGUUUUUCGCCUUUGCCCUGAGCAAAAUAUUCAAACAGAUUUACUCCAAAGUGUGUGUCAAUGAAGAAGGUAUUCAGAAACUACAGCGAGCCAUCCAGGAGCACCCGGUUGUCCUGCUGCCCAGCCACCGAAGCUACAUCGACUUCCUGAUGUUGUCUUUCCUCCUGUACAACUAUGACCUGCCGGUCCCAGUCAUCGCGGCGGGGAUGGACUUCCUGGGGAUGAAGAUGAUCGGGGAGCUGCUGCGCAUGUCGGGCGCCUUCUUCAUGCGGCGCACCUUCGGCGGCAACAGACUCUACUGGGCUGUGUUCUCCGAAUACGUCAAAACCAUGUUGCGGAAUGGUUAUGCUCCUGUUGAAUUUUUCCUCGAAGGGACAAGAAGCCGCUCCGCCAAGACUCUGACUCCUAAAUUCGGUCUGCUGAAUAUUGUGAUGGAACCUUUUUUCAAAAGAGAAGUUUUUGACACCUACCUUGUUCCAAUUAGCAUCAGUUAUGAUAAGAUCCUGGAAGAAACCCUUUAUGUGUAUGAGCUUUUAGGGGUGCCCAAGCCAAAGGAAUCUACGACCGGAUUGCUGAAAGCCAGGAGGAUUCUCUCGGAAAACUUUGGCAGCAUCCACGUAUACUUCGGAGACCCCGUGUCGCUUCGAUCUCUGGCAGCUGGGAGGUUGAGCCGAAGCCCGUAUAACCUGGUCCCAAGGUACAUCCCUCAGAAGCAGUCAGAGGACACACAAGCCUUUGUCACUGAGGUCGCCUACAGGAUGCAGCUCCUGCAGAUCCAGAACCUGGUGCUGAGCCCGUGGGUCCUGGUGGCCACCGUCCUGCUGCAGCACCGGCCGGCCAUGGACUUCGACGCCCUGAUGGAGAAGACGCUGUGGCUGAAGGGCUUAACCCUGGCCUUCGGGGGCUUCCUCAUGUGGCCCGACAAUGAACCCGCUGACGAGGUGAUCCAGUCCAGCCUCCUCCUGCACUCCAACAUCGUCAGCCUCGACAGGGACCGCGUGGUUCUGAAAGUGGACGCCAGGGACUCGGAGGUGGUGGACGGCCUCAUCUACCAGCACAUCACGCUGCUCAUGUGCUCGGCUUACAGGAACCAGCUGCUUAAUGUCUUCGUCCGGCCCUCCUUGGUGGCUCUGGCGCUGCAGGUGGCUGGCGGGGGCAGGAAAGAGGACGUCUACUGCUCCUUCCGCUUCCUGCGUGAUGUCCUGUCGGACGAGUUCAUCUUCCUUCCGGGAAACGCAGUGAAGGACUUUGAAGAAGGCUGCUACCUGCUUUGUAAAAGCGAGACCAUUCAGGUGACAACGAAGGACAUCGUAGUGACUGAGGCGGGAAAGCCCGUGUUCGAGUUUUUAAUAGAGCUCUUCAGGCCGUUUGUGGAGUGCUACCAGAUCAUUUGCAAACACCUCCUGGAGGAGGAGAAAGACUGCUUCACGGAGAAGGAGUACCUGGCUCGGGUCAGGACGUUCACCAGCCAGCUUCUCGAUCAAGGCGCCUCGCAGUGUUACGACGUGCUGUCCUCGGACGUACAGAAAAAUGCCUUGGCAGCCCUGGUGCGGCUUGGCGUGGUGGAGAGGAAGAAGGUAAAUAACGACUGUGUAUUUAAUGUGAACGAACCCGCCGCAGCAAAGCUAGAAGAAAUGCUUGGUAAGUACAUUCAGUGAAGUGCGAUCGGUUUCCGCGUGAUGUUUGUCAACACAGAGUGAAACAAGGAAGUGUGCUACGGCACAGACACUUAUCAAAGUGGACAGAUUGUAAGACCCCAGUAGGAAAACCAGUAACUGCAAAACUUUAAUGACUGCCAAGCAGCUGUGGGACUGUGGCCGCACAAUUACUGUCAUCCAAGGACUCUUACAGCCAAUGGCGUGAAGCAAGAGCCUUUCUCCUCCCCCCGGGACCAGACCGAGGCUCCCGGGGAGGAAGGGCACCGCCUACAGCCUCGGGCGGCGUCUCCGCCCACCACAGGACUUAAAAGGCAUUUGUAUCAACUCUGUGUGUUUUAAAAUAAAAUAACCUUUUGGAAACAUGUUGGAAAACAAA